UAAACAUGUCUCCGAUCAUUUCUGCCU
rnacentral:piRNA from 1 species